rnacentral:tRNA from 1 species
GGAGAGAUGUCCGAGCUGGUUGAAGGAGCUGGUCUUGAAAACCAGUGAUACCGCAAGGUACCGAGGGUUCGAAUCCCUCUCUCUCCGCCA